GACAGAGGGUGCAAACGUUGUUCGGAAUUACUGGGCGUAAAGCGCGUGUAGGCGGCUCGGAAAGUCGGGUGUGAAAGCCCGGGGCUCAACUCCGGAAUUGCCUUUAAGACUGCAUCGCUAGAAUUGUGGAGAGGUAAGUGGAAUUCCGAGUGUAGAGGUGAAAUUCGUAGAUAUUCGGAAGAACACCAGUGGCGAAGGCGACUUACUGGACACAUAUUGACGCUGAGGUGCGAAAGCGUGGGGAGCAAACAGG
rnacentral:rRNA from 1 species